CUGGGCGCAGCCUGAUCCAGCCAUGCCGCGUGCAGGAUGACGGUCCUAUGGAUUGUAAACUGCUUUUAUACGAGAAGAAACACUGCUUCGUGAAGCAGCUUGACGGUAUCGUAAGAAUAAGGAUCGGCUAACUCCGUGCCAGCAGCCGCGGUAAUACGGAGGAUCCAAGCGUUAUCCGGAAUCAUUGGGUUUAAAGGGUCCGUAGGCGGUUUAAUAAGUCAGUGGUGAAAGCCCAUCGCUCAACGGUGGAACGGCCAUUGAUACUGUUAAACUUGAAUUAUUAGGAAGUAACUAGAAUAUGUAGUGUAGCGGUGAAAUGCUUAGAGAUUACAUGGAAUACCAAUUGCGAAGGCAGGUUACUACUAAUGGAUUGACGCUGAUGGACGAAAGCGUGGGUAGCGAACAGGAUUAGAUACCCUGGUAGUCCACGCCGUAAACGAUGGAUACUAGCUGUUGGAAGCAAUUUCAGUGGCUAAGCGAAAGUGAUAAGUAUCCCACCUGGGGAGUACGUUCGCAAGAAUGAAACUCAAAGGAAUUGACGGGGGCCCGCACAAGCGGUGGAGCAUGUGGUUUAAUUCGAUGAUACGCGAGGAACCUUACCAAGGCUUAAAUGUAGAUUGACCGGUUUGGAAACAGAUCUUUCGCAAGACAAUUUACAAGGUGCUGCAUGGUUGUCGUCAGCUCGUGCCGUGAGGUGUCAGGUUAAGUCCUAUAACGAGCGCAACCCCUGUUGUUAGUUGCCAGCGAGUCAUGU
rnacentral:rRNA from 1 species